rfam:Schistosoma curassoni strain Dakar, Senegal genome assembly, scaffold: SCTD_contig0002345
AUCCAGCUGAAAAGUCCCAAAUAGGACGAAACGCGCGUCAAACUGGAU